rnacentral:tRNA from 1 species
GGUUCCAUAGCUCAGUAGGUAGAGCGUGUGGCUGUUAACCACAAAGUCAGAGGUUCGAUCCCUCUUGGAACCG